AUGGGGUGCGGCCACUCCAAGCCGCCCCGUCGGGAUCAGGACGCGCCGGUCGCGCUCUGCCGGGACCGCUCCGCGCUGCUGGCCCAAGCCAUUCGCCACCGCUACGCCCUCGCCGACGCCCACCGCGCCUACGCCGCCUCGCUGCGCGCCGCCGGCGCCGCGCUGCACGACUUCCUCCUACUGCAGCCGCAGCCGCCGCCGCCCGAGCCAGCCGCGCUGCCGCUGCGCCUCCCCGAGCGCCGGAAGGGGGACCCGCUCCCCGCCGCCGACGCGCCCAACAACAAGGCCGAUGACGACGCCGGCCACAUAUGCUUCCACUCGGACGACGAAGACGGCCCCGACGGUGCACACAUCAGCUUCCCGUCCGACGACGAGGCCGACACGGAUGUCCCCCGCCUCGAGCCCCUCCCGCCCGCGGCACCCGCGCCGCCGCCGCAGGUGGCCCCGCCUUACUAUUCUCGAUACGCUCCGCCGCUCUACAGCCACGUCCCAGGCCACGCGUAUGGGUACGGGGCCGACAUUGACGGCUAUGGACAUAAUUUCUUCAACAUCAGCUAUGCCCGCAGCCAGCCGCCGCCGUCUUCUGUGUCAUACGAGCACCGCACCCAAGCCACCAACGCCACCGUCCAUUACUACCCGGGCAAUGGUGCCUCCGGCCCACCGCUGCCCGGAUCUUACUACGGCGGCUAUCAGUACCGGUACCCCAACGACAGCGGCUUCCAUGAGACGGCAGCCUCCUCCGUCGAUGGGACUGUGCCGUCGCCACCGCAGGUGUCGAGCUGGGACUUCUUUAACCCGUUUCAGUCAGUUGAAACUUACUACCAAGAGGAGCCGGCUGCUGUGGCGGCCCAUACCCCCAGGCGGACCACGCAGGAGGGGAGCGAAUGCGAAAUCCUGGAAUUGGAGAAUGCGAAAGUGGAAGAAGAGGUCGUCAAGGAGGAAGUACGCAACAAUGGCAACCACGACAGUGAAGCCGACAGAGCUGGGCUCGCCAAGGACAAAGGGAGGAGCGGUGCCGGCGAGGAGCCGCGCAGGGAGUCCAAGUCGUCAGAGGCAAGCAGCAUGGUUCAUGAUGUCCAUGUAGUGGAGAAGAGUGUGGUGGAAGAACAUUCAGAUGCCGCUGCUGCGGUUCCCGGGAAGUCCUACAACGAUGAUAUUGAGGUGGCACGGGAGAUCAGGUCGCAGUUCGAGCAUGCAGCAAACUCUGCAGCCAAUGUAUCCAAGGUGCUCGAGGUUGGGAAGAUGCCUUACCACCACAAGAGCUCAGGACUGAAAGUAUCCUCAUCGAUGAUAAUCUGUGUCCGGCCUUCAGUCGGCGAGGAGUUCCUGCAGUUUGUGGAGGACAAAGCUACAGAACAUGGCAACCUUUCUUCGACAUUGCAGAAGCUCUACAUGUGGGAGGAGAAGCUUCUUGAAGAACUCAAGACCGAGGAGAAGAUGAGGGUGCUGUAUGAUAAAAAAUGUGAGGAACUAAAAGUUCUUUAUGAGAGAGGUGCUGAGGCUCAUAAACUUGAGGACAGUGAAACUUAUAUCAGGAAGCUAUCGACAAAAAUAAGUGUUGCCAUUCAGGUUGUCAACACUAUCUCAAAGAAGAUCAAUAAGCUGAGAGAUGAAGAAUUAUGGCCGCAAACAAAUGAGCUGAUUCAAGGGUUGAUGCAAAUGUGGCAUGCCAUGUCAGAAUGCCAUAAAAUCCAGUGCCAUGCCUUGGCCCAAGCUAAAAGCAUCGACUCCACCGUCGCAGCUACAAGAUUCAGUGAAGCUCAUAUCGACUUAAUCAAGAAUCUGGAGCUCGAGUUGCUGGAUUUGGUUGCCAGUUUUGCUGCAUGGGUUAACGCACAAACGAGCUACAUUGGCACUAUAAACGACUGGCUGAGGAAGGGGAUUGACUAUGUGCCUGAAUUGACCAAUGACGGCACUCCCCCGUUCUCCCCAGGGCGCCUGGGAGCACCCCCCAUUUUCAUCAUCUGUAAUAACUGGGCGACCGGAAUCGCGAGGAUACCGGAGACGGGGGUGGUAGACACCAUGCAGGCUCUUGCCUCCCAGAUUCUGCACCUGUGGGAGAAGCACAGGCUAGAGUGGAGGCAGGGCAUGAUGGCCAACAGAGAAAUGGACAGGGAGCUUAGAGUGAUGGAGAGGGAUCAAGUGUCCAUGCGCAAGGCCCUCGAAGCACAGAAUAAGAAGCUCGUGCUUGUUUCGAAUCAGGGCGGCGUGUCCUUAUCUGCGCAGGCUGUACGAGAUGGUGAUCCACCCUCUGAAGCGGGUUUGCAAUCAUGCAUGAACAAGUUUUUCCAAGCGAUGGAGAGCUUCGCCGCCGCCUGCGCAAAUGCGUACAAGGAUCUCCAUCUUCGUUGUGAAGAGAGAACUCGACCUGCCCAGGAGACCGACAGAGUUUCCUAG
rnacentral:rRNA from 1 species